UAAAAGGCGCCUGAAUGAAAGGAUUAUUUUGAUAGAAUAAAUCAUGUAAAUAAAAAAAUUUACCCUUUUAA
rnacentral:tRNA from 1 species